GCUGCGUUACGUAGAACCUGAAAUGAGAACGUAAUCCGAAUUUACUCCGAAAUAUUUCGUUGCAAGUUGAAUUAUCAAUAAAAAUGUGCAUUAUAAACACAAAAUAUGACAAACAAUUAACAAAGCAUACAUAUUUACCAUUGUUUUAAGGAAUUAGAUCACAAUCAGUCAGAAGGAAAGUCUGGAACAAACCAUAGAAGGGAACUCUCAUUGACUCGGGUUUUUUUUUCUGUAACAGGAAGUGCAAAUGGAACCUGGCUAUUCAGUUUCGUAUUCAUCUAAAAAUCGGGAAAUACCUUAAUUUUUAUAAUUUUCGUAGUUCAAAUUUUUAUCUUGAAAAUGUAUCUCCGCUUCAAAGAUGAAUGUUGAUGACUACGUGAUAUAAAUUUACUUUAUGGAACCAAAGCUAUUUUUUAUGGAAUGCCGUACGUCACAAAUUACGUCAUCAUGCGGCUUAGAAAGCAGAAAGAAAGAAAGAGCAGAAUGUUUUCAACUCCAUAUUUUCUGUAUAAUUUGCUGGUAAUAAGCAGAUCUAUGCAUGGCACUCCAUUGUACCACACUGAUAGCUUCUCAAAGAUUAUAAAUAUGAUACAUGUAAACAGGUAAAAAAAGAAUCUAAGAGAGAAAUAUUUUUUGCAGAGCCUGAGGUAUACAUUGUUUGUUAUUACAUGUAUAACAAUUUUGUAUACAUGUAGCAAAAUCUUAACCAUUCAGCUUAUUUUUGCUUAUCUUGCAUUUCUUUAAUGUAAAUACAUGUAUAUAAUCUUUGUUAAUUUAUAGAAUACAUGUUUUAAAUAAAGUGACAAGAGAUAAUGAACUAAAUGUUAUUGAACCUACAGACACUAUCUGACAUUUCUGAGUUUCUCUGUAGGCACAGUUAAUUAUCAUCACAAGGAUCAAAUUCAAGUACCAAGGUAGUCGUAACUCCCAAAUCUUCCUGAUUGUCAAAAGUACCGGUACAUUGACACAAGAGAAAAAUGUGGAGUAAAUGCCAAUAAAGGCUCGACUGCUGGGGUAUACCCGACUUCUCGGCAAUUUCUGGUUAUCACCAUCCGAUUCAGAGGAGAAGACCAACUUCAAGGUGACUCUUAUGCAUUGAGAGCUUUCGCUGAUGGACACAAA